rnacentral:lncRNA from 1 species
UGUCUAAAACGUAAUUACAGCUUCAGUAUCAGGAUUGCAGCGAGAGCUGCUCUCCGGUCUAGGCCGCAGGUGAAGGGAAACCCGGCCAUCCGUCCCCCCCGACUCCUCGCAUCUCUCAACGCCCACCCGGCCGGCUCCUGGCUCCAGCUGUCCCCACUUCCAGGCCUCGUGGCGCUGAGCCGCCGCGGCCCCCGCUCCGUCACAUACGGUCCCGAUUCCAGGGGGCGACUGUGGUCCCCGGGGAAGGGCGGCCCCCAGGUCCCCCCGGGUCGCCAGCCCGCCGCUCCCGCCCCGCCCGGCCCCCAGCACGCCGGCCGCGGCCCGCCCCACCCAGGCCUGCCGGCGCCGCUGUCAGCGGCCCACGUGCCGCCGGGCCCCGGGUCGCGCGGCCCCCGCCCCCACCCCGGCGGGCUCCGCCCCCGCAGCCCCGCCGUCCCCCGCGUCCCGGGGCGUCCCCGGCCGCCGCCGCCGCCGCCGCCGCCGGGAAGGCGGCGAGGCAGAAGGCCCGGGGGCUCGCGACACAAUCCCCGGCGUCGACGCGGCGGCAGCUCCAGUCCCGACUCCGCACUCGCGACGACGACGGCGGCGGCGGCGACUCAACCCUCCUCGUGUGUGCGAGCGGAUCUCCUCCCACCCAACCCCAACCACCUCCGACUGCCUCAGCGCCAACCCCACGCCCUGCGUGGAUUGACCCCUCGGCGCCACCCGUACCGUCGCCUCGGUAGUUCUCGGUCCUGUCCGUCCCGGCUUCCGGCUAUGAAGCGCGGCCGAAGACGGAACUACGAGUCCCGGCAGCUCUCGCGCCACUCCGCUGCGGUUUUCCCGGGGGCCGACGGGAGUCGGAGUUCGGGGGCCGGGAGCAACCGGAAGCGGCUCCUGCUCCCGGCAGGCAGCGCGAGGAGGCGGAGGUCUAGUCGCCGCUCGGCGGCCCCACCUGUCACCGGGUGGGGGCAGGGAGGGGGCAAGCCCUGGCAGGACUGGGCGGCGGGCUGCGGCCCGCGAGUCUCUCAGCGCGUGGGGUGGUCCACUCCGUCCCGUUAUGCACAGGAUGCGGGAAAACGGAGGACAAAAAGCUCUCCCCUCCUGCGAGUUCCUUCCUUCUCUUUCCACCAGCCUCUCUGCGUUGUGCGCCUCGCAGCCUCCCCAUCUCGUUCUCUCUCUCUCUCUCUGCACCUUCCUUCUCCCCGCCCCCAGCCAGAUUUUGCCCUACAUUUCAAAGCCGACGCGGAGCGUCUUUCAUGUUCUGUAUUCAUUUGGUGGAAGGGAAUAAAACCCUGA